CCUACGGGUGGCAGCAGUCGAGAAUCAUUCACAAUGGGGGAAACCCUGAUGGUGCGACGCCGCGUGGGGGAAUGAAGGUCUUCGGAUUGUAAACCCCUGUCAUGUGGGAGCAAAUUAAAAAGAUAGUACCACAAGAGGAAGAGACGGCUAACUCUGUGCCAGCAGCCGCGGUAAUACAGAGGUCUCAAGCGUUGUUCGGAAUCACUGGGCGUAAGGCGUGCGUAGGCUGUUUCGUAAGUCGUGUGUGAAAGGCGCGGGCUCAACCCGCGGACGGCACAUGAUACUGCGAGACUAGAGUAAUGGAGGGGGAACCGGAAUUCUCGGUGUAGCAGUGAAAUGCGUAGAUAUCGAGAGGAACACUCGUGGCGAAGGCGGGUUCCUGGACAUUAACUGACGCUGAGGCACGAAGGCCAGGGGAGCGAAAGGGAUUAGAUACCCGACUAGUC
rnacentral:rRNA from 1 species